GCCCGGUUAGCUCAAUCGGUAGAGCGUGAGACUCUUAAUCUCAAGGUUGCGGGUAAGUCCCAAAAUAAAACCGCACGAAAACGGAAAAUUUAACAUACUGACCUAAAAUCACAGGUUCGACCCCCGCAUCGGGCU